AGAAGUGGAUGGAGAGGCUGGGCAGAAGGCGGUGUUUCCUGAAGGAAGCAGUGGUUCCAUGCCAGCAUCUGCUGUAGGACUGGAGGCGAUGCCAGGCACAGUCACAGGAGCUGAACCUGCUGGUGAAGGUGGAGCAGCUUCCCAAACCACGUCCAGGACUGAGCCUCUGGGAGAUGCUGAGGUGAUGGACCAAACAUCUGUGCAGAAGGAAGCACAUCCUGGAGGAAGCAUUUCCCCAUGGACAGCCCCUGCUGCAGGAAGGAAGGCGAUGCCAGACACGGGCACAGGCA